rnacentral:snoRNA from 1 species
CUUGCCUACAGUUCAAAGAAUCACUUUAGAGUAGACGUCCCACCUCUGAGCUCUUCUAAAGAGCCACAGAAUCUCCACCCUUGCUGAUGACUGCUAUGUCCUCGAUGCCCUAAAGUGAAGCCGUUUUUUUACUUCCGACUCGACCUUGCAUUUUGCACGCUCUGUUACAAUCUGUCUCCGGAUAGACUUGUUUCGGGUGUCGGUGCGAUGGUCCAGGGAGUGGUGAUGAUCUUUACCUUGUCAUGAUGUCUUGACUUCGGUCGGUCGGACUUGGUGGGUGUCGAGGAGGUCUGAAAGGU